rnacentral:rRNA from 1 species
ACUCAAUGUGUACGGGCUUGUCCAACAGAUGUAUUAGAAAUGAUACCCUGGGAUGGAUGUAAAGCCAAGAAAAUUGCUUCCGCGCCGAGAACAAGGCCCCGCAUGUCAGUUACUCAAUGGGUUCGGCCACGUCAGGGGAUCCUCAUCCGUAGUAUACUCCCUCUGUUUUUAUUUACUCCGCAUAAAACGAAGGGAGUGGUAGAAUAA